rnacentral:rRNA from 1 species
CAGCCCUAAACGAUGCGCGUUAGGUGUAUCGGUGACCACGAGUCACCGAGGUGCCGAAGGGAAACCGUGAAACGUGCCGCCUGGGAAGUACGGUCGCAAGGCUGAAACUUAAAGGAAUUGGCGGGGGGAGGCACCACAACGGGUGGAGCCUGCGGUUUAAUUGGACUCAACGCCGGGAAGCUCACCGGAUAAGACAGCGGAAUGAUUGCCGGGCUGAAGACCCUGCAUGACCAGCUGAGAGGAGGUGCAUGGCGUGUGACUGU